ACGUAGGUUCCGAGCGUUAUCCGGCUUUACUGGGCGUAAAGCGCGUUCAGGCGGUUUGGCAAGUCGGGCCUGAAAUCUCUCGGCUCAACCGGGAGAGGUUGUCCGAUACUGCUGGACUUGAGGGCAGUAGAGGGUGGUGGAAUUCCGGGUGUAGUGGUGAAAUGCGUAGAUAUCCGGAGGAACACCGGUGGCGAAGGCGGUCUGCUGGGCAGUAGCUGACGCUGAGGCGCGACAGCGUGGGGAGCAAACAGG
rnacentral:rRNA from 1 species